AAAGCGUUAGAUGGUAAGCAGGA
rnacentral:siRNA from 1 species